AACGAACGCUGGCGGCAGGCCUAACACAUGCAAGUCGAGCGAGCAUUUCGGUGCUAGCGGCGGACGGGUGAGUAACGCGUGGGAACGUGCCCUUUUCUGCGGAAUAGUCCUGGGAAACUGGGGGUAAUACCGCAUACGCCCUUUUGGGGAAAGAUUUAUCAGAGAAGGAUCGGCCCGCGUUGGAUUAGGUAGUUGGUGGGGUAAUGGCCCACCAAGCCGACGAUCCAUAGCUGGUUUGAGAGGAUGAUCAGCCACACUGGGACUGAGACACGGCCCAGACUCCUACGGGAGGCAGCAGUGGGGAAUCUUAGACAAUGGGGGCAACCCUGAUCUAGCCAUGCCGCGUGAGUGAUGAAGGCCUUAGGGUUGUAAAGCUCUUUCAGCUGGGAAGAUAAUGACGGUACCAGCAGAAGAAGCCCCGGCUAACUCCGUG
rnacentral:rRNA from 1 species